rnacentral:rRNA from 1 species
AGUACGUAGUGUCCUGAAGUGGGGGAUAACGCAUCGAAAGAUGUGCUAAUACCGCAUAUUCUCUGAGGAGGAAAGUAGGGGAUCGAAAGACCUUAUGCUUUUGGAGCGGCCGAUGUCUGAUUAGCUAGUUGGUAGGGUAAUGGCUUACCAAGGCGACGAUCAGUAGUUGGUCUGAGAGGACGACCAGCCACACUGGGACUGAGACACGGCCCAGACUCCUACGGGAGGCAGCAGUGGGAAUUUUGGACAAUGGGCGCAAGCCUGAUCCAGCAAUGCCGCGUGAGUGAAGAAGGCCUUCGGGUUGUAAAGCUCUUUCAGUUGAGAAGAAAAAGUCGUGACUAAUAAUCAUGAUUCAUGACGGUAUCAACAGAAGAAGCACCGGCUAACUACGUG